rnacentral:rRNA from 1 species
ACUCAAAUGAAUAGACGGGGACCCGCACAAGCGGUGGAGUAUGUGGUUUAAUUCGACGCAACGCGAAAAACCUUACCUAGGCUCGAACGACUGGGAGUAGAAUCUAUGAAAGUGGAGACGACCUGUAAAGUCAGGAACCAGCCGAGGUGCUGCAUGGUUGUCGUCAGCUCGUGUCGUGAGAUGUUGGGUUAAGUCCCGCAACGAGCGCAACCCCCAUCCUGUGUUGCUAACCCGAAAGGGUGCACUCUCAGGAAACUGCCCACGAUGAGUGGGAGGAAGGUGGGGACGACGUCAAAUCACCAUGGCCCUUAUGUCUAGGGCUACACACGUACUACAAUGGCCAGUACAGAGGGCCGCAAUACCGCAAGGUGGAGCAAAUCCUUAAAACUGGCCCCAGUUCAGAUUGUGGGCUGCAAUUCGUCCACAUGAAGGUGGAAUCGCUAGUAAUCGCGAAUCAGAAGGUCGCGGUGAAUACGUUCCCGGGUCUUGCACACACCGCCCGU